CUUUCAUCAAUGCUAUUUUUUUCUUUACUUUUAUGAGCUAAAAACAGUAAAAGAUUACAUGUUUUACGUGAAUCAUCCCUACCCUACAUCUGUCACUUUCAUUUCUAUUUCUCCUCAUCUUUUUCCUCUACUCACCCUACUCUCUCAUCUCAUUUCUCUGCUCAUCUCCGUCCUUCUCUCUUCCGUUUCUCCUUCCUCUUCUUUUUUCUCUCGUUUCAUCUCUCUCUAGAAUUUUCUCCUUUUCUAGAUAUAAUCAAGAAAACUCCUUUUCACAAACUGAAGGUCCAUUAAAAUGCAAAAUCAAAAGAACCUAAUAGAAUUUACACAAAAAGAUUGAAACUUUUUUAAAAAAUUUUAAAAACCCAAUUGGAUUUACAAAUAAAGAUUGGUACUUUCUUGAUGAAAUUGAAACAAAGAUUAUAUAUGAGUUCAUCUCGACAAGUGUUGUGGCCAUACAAGAAAAACAAGAAUUGAAGAAUCGAAAGUUGUCCAAAUUGGUUGUCCAUUUCUGAGAUUUGUUGUGAUAAAAAGAUUAACAGAAAUUGGAUAAAUGAGAGAAAAAGAAAAAAAUUGAAUAAUCUAAAUUCGCGUAAAUCGAGAGAAAUAGGAAGAGAAAUGACAUAAGGGGUGGUUUGGUUGCAGAGAAAGGUAAUGUGUUGUGUAUGUGAUAUAUAUGGUAAGUGAGUGUUUCAGAAUCACUAGACCCAUUUCUUUAAAAUAAACAAUUACUACUUUUUGUAAUUGCCAUUAUCACCUUCAAUCUUCAGUUUAAUUUGUAGUUUUUUUCCCUUUUGUUUUUGAAUAUUGUUGCUUCAUGGGUUCUAAUGGAUGCUGCUUCCUUUACAUCUAGUAAAAGGAAUUAGGGAUUGUUGAAGAGAAGAAACCGGAAAAUACAAAGCAUGGCGUGAACAAUAUACAUAUCUAUGCUAUGCAGAUUUUAAGAGUUAGAAUUAUAUUUUAUAUGUAUUUGAGAUGUAUUAUUUAUGUAUUUGAAAUGUUAAUAUAUCGUUUUUUA